AUUCAUCUAUCUGCAUCUGCUUACACAUCUCUACUUAUUGUCUGAUACAAGAAGCUGUUAUAGAUUACUAAGCUGAAGUUGUGACAGGUAGUACUGAUGGAAUUGGAAAAUCAUACGCAGAAGAGUUAGCAAAGCAUGGAAUGAAGGUUGUCCUUAUCAGCAGAUCACAGGAUAAACUUGACCAGGUUUCCAGUGAAAUAAAAGAAAAAUUCAAAGUGGAGACAAGAACCAUUGCUGUUGACUUUGCAUCAGAAGAUAUUUAUGAUAAAAUUAAAACGGGCUUGUCUGGUCUUGAAAUCGGCAUCUUAGUGAAUAACGUGGGAAUGUCGUAUGAGUAUCCUGAAUACUUUUUGGAUGUUCCUGACUUGGACAAUGUGAUCAAGAAAAUGAUAAAUAUUAAUAUUCUUUCUGUUUGUAAGAUGACACAAUUGGUACUGCCUGGCAUGGUGGAAAGAUCCAAAGGGGCUAUUCUGAACAUUUCGUCUGGCAGUGGCAUGCUCCCUGUCCCACUGUUGACCAUCUAUUCUGCAACCAAGACUUUUGUAGAUUUCUUCUCUCGGUGCCUCCAUGA
rnacentral:sRNA from 1 species